rnacentral:misc_RNA from 1 species
AACUUUCGACAAUGGAUCUCUUGGCUCUCGCAUCGAUGAAGAACGCAGCGAAAUGCGAUACGUAAUGUGAAUUGCAGAAUUCAGUUAAUCAUCGAAUCUUUGAACGCACCUUGCGCCCCUUGGAAUUCCGAGGGGCACACCCGUUUGAGUGUCGUGAACAUCCUUCAACCUUCGUUGGUUUCUUGACCGGGGAAGGCUGGGACUUUGGGGGUCUUUCAUUGCUGGCCUCUUUGAAGCCAGCUCCUCCUAAAUGUAUUAGUGUGGUCUGCUUUGCCGAUCCUUGACGUGAUAAGAUGUUUCUACGUCUUGGGUUUCGCACUGUCGCUUUAGACCCCGCUUCUAACCGUCUUGCAUUCAAGACAGAGUUUUAAACCUUGACCUCAAAUCGGGUGAGACUACCCGCUGAACUUAAGCAUAUCAAUAAGCGGAGGCU